CCUACGGGAGGCAGCAGUGAGGAAUAUUGGUCAAUGGGCGGGAGCCUGAACCAGCCAAGCCGCGUGAGGGAAGAAGGUACAGCGUAUCGUAAACCUCUUUUGUCAGGGAACAAAGGCGGGGACUAGUCCCCGGAUGAGGGUACCUGAAGAAAAAGCAUCGGCUAACUCCGUGCCAGCAGCCGCGGUAAUACGGAGGAUGCGAGCGUUAUCCGGAUUUAUUGGGUUUAAAGGGUGCGCAGGCGGCCUGUAAAGUCAGAGGUAAAAGCCCGGGGCUCAACCGCGGCGAGCCGUUGAAACUGGCGGGCUGGAGUUGGGGAGAGGUGCGCGGAAUGCGCGGUGUAGCGGUGAAAUGCUUAGAUAUCGCGCAGAACCCCGAUUGCGAAGGCAGCGUACCGGCUCCACACUGACGCUGAGGCACGAAAGCGUGGGUAGCGAACAGGAUUAGAUACCCGGGUAGUC
rnacentral:rRNA from 1 species